UGUCCAGGGAUGGGAAUCGAACCCACAGUGUUCCGCUUACCGGGCAGAUGCCAUGUCCACUAGGCUACCCAUCCCUGGAC
rnacentral:tRNA from 1 species